rnacentral:rRNA from 1 species
CAGGGAAUAUUAGAAAUGGACGGAAGUCUGACCUUGCGACACCGCGUGUGCGAAGAAGGCCUUCGGGUUGUAAAGCACUUUUUGGAAGGAAUAGGAAGGAAGGUACUUCCAGAAUAAGUCUCGGCUAACUACGUGCCAGCAGCCGCGGUAACACGUAGGAGGCGAACGUUAUCCGGAUUUACUGGGCGUAAAGCGCGUGUAGGUGGUUCUGUAAGUAGGGCGUGAAAGCUCCUGGCUCAACUGGGAGAGGCCGUUCUAAACUGCAGAGCUAGAGGAUGGUAGAGGGAGGUGGAAUUCCAGGUGUAGCGGUGGAAUGCGCAGAUAUCUGGAGGAACACCAGUGGCGAAGGCGGCCUCCUGGACCAUUCCUGACACUCAGACGCGAAAGCUAGGGUAGCAAACGG